rnacentral:rRNA from 1 species
CCCUUAGAUGUUCUGGGCCGCACGCGCGCUACACUGAUGCAUUCAACGAGUUUCUUCCUGGUCCGAGAGGAAUGGGUAACCUUUUGAAAGUGCAUCGUGAUAGGGAUAGACUAUUGCAAUUAUUGGUCUUCAACGAGGAAUUCCUAGUAGACGUAGUUCAUCAGACUGCAUCGAUUACGUCCCUGCCCUUUGUACACACCGUCCGUCGCUCCUACCGAUUGAAUGCUCAGGUGAGCCAUUCGGACUUUCAUCAUGCUGGUUUCCAGUUUUGAUGAAGGAAAGUCUUGCGAACCUUAUCAUUUAGAGGAAGGAGAAGUCGUAACA